UUGAACGCUGGCGGCAGGCCUAACACAUGCAAGUCGAACGGUAACAGGAAACAGCUUGCUGUUUCGCUGACGAGUGGCGGACGGGUGAGUAAUGUCUGGGAAACUGCCCGAUGGAGGGGGAUAACUACUGGAAACGGUAGCUAAUACCGCAUAACGUCGCAAGACCAAAGAGGGGGACCUUAGGGCCUCUUGCCAUCGGAUGUGCCCAGAUGGGAUUAGCUAGUAGGUGGGGUAAAGGCUCACCUAGGCGACGAUCCCUAGCUGGUCUGAGAGGAUGACCAGCCACACUGGAACUGAGACACGGUCCAGACUCCUACGGGAGGCAGCAGUGGGGAAUAUUGCACAAUGGGCGCAAGCCUGAUGCAGCCAUGCCGCGUGUAUGAAGAAGGCCUUCGGGUUGUAAAGUACUUUCAGCGGGGAGGAAGGGAGUAAAGUUAAUACCUUUGCUCAUUGACGUUACCCGCAGAAGAAGCACCGGCUAACUCCGUGCCAGCAGCCGCGGUAAUACGGAGGGUGCAAGCGUUAAUCGGAAUUACUGGGCGUAAAGCGCACGCAGGCGGUUUGUUAAGUCAGAUGUGAAAUCCCCGGGCUCAACCUGGGAACUGCAUCUGAUACUGGCAAGCUUGAGUCUCGUAGAGGGGGGUAGAAUUCCAGGUGUAGCGGUGAAAUGCGUAGAGAUCUGGAGGAAUACCGGUGGCGAAGGCGGCCCCCUGGACGAAGACUGACGCUCAGGUGCGAAAGCGUGGGGAGCGAACAGGAUUAGAUACCCUGGUAGUCCACGCCGUAAACGAUGUCGACUUGGAGGUUGUGCCCUUGAGGCGUGGCUUCCGGAGCUAACGCGUUAAGUCGACCGCCUGGGGAGUACGGCCGCAAGGUUAAAACUCAAAUGAAUUGACGGGGGCCCGCACAAGCGGUGGAGCAUGUGGUUUAAUUCGAUGCAACGCGAAGAACCUUACCUGGUCUUGACAUCCACGGAAGUUUUCAGAGAUGAGAAUGUGCCUUCGGGAACCGUGAGACAGGUGCUGCAUGGCUGUCGUCAGCUCGUGUUGUGAAAUGUUGGGUUAAGUCCCGCAACGAGCGCAACCCUUAUCCUUUGUUGCCAGCGGUCCGGCCGGGAACUCAAAGGAGACUGCCAGUGAUAAACUGGAGGAAGGUGGGGAUGACGUCAAGUCAUCAUGGCCCUUACGACCAGGGCUACACACGUGCUACAAUGGCGCAUACAAAGAGAAGCGACCUCGCGAGAGCAAGCGGACCUCAUAAAGUGCGUCGUAGUCCGGAUUGGAGUCUGCAACUCGACUCCAUGAAGUCGGAAUCGCUAGUAAUCGUGGAUCAGAAUGCCACGGUGAAUACGUUCCCGGGCCUUGUACACACCGCCCGUCACACCAUGGGAGUGGGUUGCAAAAGAAGUAGGUAGCUUAACCUUCGGGAGGGCGCUUACCACUUUGUGAUUCAUGACUGGGGUG
rnacentral:rRNA from 1 species